rnacentral:rRNA from 1 species
GACGAACGCUGGCGGCGUGCUUAACACAUGCAAGUCGAACGGAAAGGCCCUGCUCUUGCGCGGUGCUCGUGUGGGGCACGCGGGUGUGACACGCGUGUAAACCCUCCUUGUCUUUCGGAUAUCUUCACGAAAAACGGGCUCUUAUCCGAUAGGAGCUAUUGCACCGCGUUGUUGGUUGGAGAGAUUCGGCGGUUGUGUAUGGACUCGCUGCUUAUCAGCUUGUUGGUGGGGUAGGGGCUUACUAAGGCUUCGACGGGUAGUCGGCCUGAGAGGGUGACCGGCCACAUUGGGACUGAGAUACGGCCCAGACUCCUACGGGAGGCAGAAGUGGGGAAUAUUGCACAAUGGGCGGAAGCCUGAUGCAGCGACGCCGCGUGCGGGAUGACGGCCUUCGGGUUGUAAACCGCUUUCGCCUGUGACGAAGCGUGAGUGACGGUAAUGGAUAAAGAAGCACCGGCUAACUACGUG